rnacentral:lncRNA from 1 species
CAGAAUCCGGGGAGUCUCAGGCAUUCCAAAGUGAGGAAGUGGAUUCAGAUGUAGUAUCUGUGAGAAAGUACUGACAUGUAAAGGUGGAUAUACUGUUCAUCAGCAGAUGACUUGAAGUCAAAGAAGCGAGAGACCAUUCAGUCAUUUCUACAGAUUUCCAAGCACGAAUGCUCUUAUGUUCAGCUGAGAAAAAUGAUGAACAAGCAGAAAAUACAGCAGCAAAGGACAAGGAAGAGAUGGCACACAUUUUAAGAAUGAAAUUAACUUAAUAAAUAUUCAGAUCAUUUCUAAGGGAUGUUACAUUUGGGAAUUCACUUUUCCAGUAUAGUACAGAUACUAGUACUUUGCU